rnacentral:rRNA from 1 species
UACGGAGGUGGCAAGCGUUGUUCGGAAUCACUGGGCGUAAAGGGCGCGUAGGCGGCUUUAUAAGUCGGGGGUGAAAGCCUGUGGCUCAACCACAGAAUUGCCUUCGAUACUGUAGAGCUUGAGACCGGAAGAGGUAAGUGGAACUGCGAGUGUAGAGGUGAAAUUCGUAGAUAUUCGCAAGAACACCGGUGGCGAAGGCAGCUCGCUGGGACGGUACUGACGCUAAGGCGCGAAAGCGUGGGGAGCGAACAGG